GCUGUUACAUUGGACGCUGCAGCUUCGAUGGAGAUCACCUGGCAAUUCAUUGUGCGGGGCUCAGGACUAUUGUCCAAGUUCCCUACUCUAAAUGCAAUUGCAAUAUACAAUUCAUGCAAGGAAUUACCAGAAUUCCAAGCCUUUUCACCACAAAAGCAACCUGAUAUGAUGCUGCAUUGUGAAUCUUGCCACCAUCCAGCAGAAAUUUAUUUCUAAAGGAAAUUGAAGCAUUUUUUGGUUUAUCUUAAAACUAUAUUCUUGUACUGAGACUGUCCACAUGCUAUGGUUUGAAUAUAGACUUUAACUGUGGUUAGUUUGUGUUUAUGCAAUCAAUGAUGGUAUUUGGUUUUGGAUCCU